AUUACCCAAUCCUGACUCAGGGAGGUAGUGACAAGAAAUAACGGACCGAGGCUUUCGGGCUUCGGGAUUGCAAUGAGCCGAAUUUACACCCCUUAGCGAGGACCAAUUGGAGGGCAAGUCUGGUGCCAGCACCCGCGGUAAUUCCAGCUCCAAUAGCGUAUAUUAAAGUUGUUGCCGUUAAAAAGCUCGUAGUUGGAUUUCUGGGAGGGUGCCAAUGUCCGCCAGAGGCGUGCGCAGCGGCGCCCUUCCAUCCUUCUGUUAACAUCUCUUGGCAUUCAUUUGCUGGUGAUGGGCUCAUAUAUUUUACCUUGAGAAAAUUAGAGUGUUUCAGGCAGGCUACGCCGGAAUACAUUAUCAUGGAAUAAUGGAAUAGGACUACGGUCUCUUUGUUGGUUUGAGGGACUGGAGUAAUGAUUAAUAGGGAUAGUUGG
rnacentral:rRNA from 1 species